UACAGAGGGUGCAAGCGUUGUUCGGAAUUACUGGGCGUAAAGCGCGUGUAGGCGGUUUGGCAAGUCAGACGUGAAAUCCCUCAGCUUAACUGAGGAACUGCAUCUGAUACUGCCAGACUAGAGUGUCGGAGGGGAUGGUGGAAUUCCCGGUGUAGAGGUGAAAUUCGUAGAUAUCGGGAGGAACACCUGUGGCGAAGGCGGCCAUCUGGAAGACAACUGACGCUGAGACGCGAAAGCGUGGGUAGCAAACAGG
rnacentral:rRNA from 1 species